AAAAAAACAAAAAAAAAAUGGUGAAAAAAAGGAAUAUCCGUCUGAUUCAAGUGAGACAAAAAAAGGAUUCCCGUCUCUCUACGACAAAGGCAGGAGCAGCGGCAGGAGCGGUGGCGGCGGCGGCAGCAUGUGACAGAUGAUGACACGAUGUUUGCCCAAGACCUCAUAUGUUCAGCACAUGGUGAAUUGAGGAAACAACUCCGAAAACACUGCGUGUGUUUUUUCCAAAUUUCUGUGAAGAAAUGAUCAACACCACUUAAAUAAGAGAGAGGAAAGAAGCAUUUCCACUGAUGAGAUCAGAACUCUGAUUGGCUAUUGGAUACCAGUCUUGAGGAUGUUGGAACACACCAGACGAAGCUACAGUGCCUGAUAUGCCUCCAGCAUCCCAGCAACCCAGCGACCGCGAGCACCCCUUGGGAGCUUCAUGCAUUAUGCUUCUAGCAUUUACAGAGAAAGAGAUAUUAAAAAACAUCCAGUCGGCAGCAGCUCUGCUUUGUUGUGGAGAAGAGAAGUCAGAGGAGAGCAGGAGAGAGAGACGUUCAAGCUAAAUACAGGCCAUCCGUACUACAUGGCUUCAAGCUAUGUGCUUGUAGCUGAACCACAGUGGUUUGGAUCAAUCAGCGUCCUAUGAGGAACUACUGGCAGCUGUUUGAAAAGAACAGUGGCGGCUCCUAAAGAGGAGGUCCACAUGUUGCUCACCUUUUAUGCCUCAUGACUCACUAGUUGAGCAGAAAAACAGUGCCCCUGCUGAGUGGAAAAAAACACACAAGAUCUUGUUGUGGAUGACUACCGGCGGCCCUGCAUACAAAAACCCCAAAGCCGCUUGCUCGUUCGUGGGAGGAGUGUCUUUAAGCCAAGGAAUGUUGUCUUUGCCUCCUCCAUCUGAGCCCAUCUGGACGUACAGUGUGUCCGAGUUUCAGCCGAGAUUGAGAGAAAAGACAAACUGCAGCUGCCGGAGUUAAAAAUAAACAGAAACUGUACUGACGGGAAGAGGGCUGGAGAGAGCUGUGGAGAGGGCUUCAAGAGGUCGACCUAAUGGUCCGGAGGUCACCGCACUCGGGUGUGUGUGUGUGUGUGUGUGUGUGUGUGUGUGUGUGUGUGUGUGUGUGUGUGUGUGUGUGUGUGUGUGUGUGUGUGUGUGUGUGUGUGUGUCAGAGAGGGAGAGAGUGAAAGACAAAGAGAGUGGAAGAUGUGGAAAGUCCCAGAGAAUACAAAAACAUCACAGUCACAAAAUGCUACAGAAACUGUGAGAGAAUUAAACAAAAAGACCAAAAAUGUUAAAAUCCAUGCAUUAAACACACAACAUUACUCCAGUUUAAAUUGUAUUGUUUGUGUGUCUGAACAAAAGGUGAGAGAAGAGCUUCCUAAAAAAAAAAAAAAAACAGCAUUCACUCAUUUAUUCAUUUGUUUUUAUCUCUUUAUCACUAUUUGAGAUUACAGAGGACCGGUCCCAGCUUUACCAGCUAAGAUCCGGCGAUAAAUGGGAAACUUUUUUUAUUUUUUUUAUCGAGUCUUAUUAGGGAUUCUGCUUGUCUGCCCCCACUAUGAGCUGAUGUAAAAACCAAAAAAUAAAAAAUGAAAGCUUUCAUAUCGUACAUGAGUGGUGUUCUGGCAGCUGUCAAGAUAAUGUAAGCCGAGGGGAGACGUGUUGAAAGAAUUGCAGGAAGAACAGUAACUUUUCACCGGCGCCCCGCUCUUUGACUGCAGCUGAGGCGUUCACAGCAGCUGAGUCACCGUC